rnacentral:misc_RNA from 1 species
GAAAAACACAAAAUCCUUGCAUUUUUUCGAUACAAACUAAGUCGAAGUUCUCUCCCUCGUCUCAAGUCCUUUCUCUCUAAUUCCGCCAAACCUUGCGGCGAUUUCUCCAACCUCUUUAACUCAGCCUCUCUGUGUCCUUUAUACUUUAAAACAGACUUCUCUCAUUCAGCAGAGCUCUCUUUGAAUUUUUCUUUCUACAACAGUCUCUCAACAAUGGCUCAAGUGAUGGCUACGGGAUCGAUCCAUGGUUCAUUACUGUGCCGUAGCUCUGGAUCGCUACAAGCGCGAGUUGAUAAGCUAAAGCCUUCAAGUUUUGCUUCGAAAGUGUUGGCAAGUGAGGAGAACAAGAGGGAGAAGAACUGCCUCAAAAUUGCCCCUAGAAGCACUCAAAUUGCGGCUGCUAAGAGAUCCGUACGUGCUGAGCCUGAAGUUAUUCCCGUCUCGCCCGAGGAUGUACCGCAGAGAGAAGACCAAGUUCUGCAUUUACAGCAAUUGGGAGACACUUCAGUGGGUGUGUGGUCCAAGCCCACAGUUAGACGCAAGACAAAGAUUGUUUGCACCAUUGGUCCUUCAACCAACACAAGGGAAAUGAUAUGGAAGCUGGCUGAGGCUGGAAUGAAUGUUGCUCGAUUGAAUAUGUCUCAUGGAGACCAUGCGUCUCAUCAGAAAGUUAUUGAUUUGGUUAAAGAAUAUAAUUCACUGUCCAAAGACAAUGUCAUUGCAAUCAUGCUUGACACUAAGGCAGGUUCACUUCAUAUUAAUUUUGUGAUUCAUAUUUAAACUGCUAUAUUGCUUCACACUUGGCAAGUUUUACAUUACUUGGGAAGGUACCAGACAUUUGGAACUUCAUUUCUUUAAAUAGAAUUACCAGUAGCAUUUCUUAGAAUGUCUUUAUCAUUUCUAGUCGGUCAAAGAAUGCGGCUAGUGUUCAUCUGUCUUUGAAUCAUGAACCUUAUAUUACUACUGCUUAUAAUUUGCCUGUGCUGUGAACGUAUCAGAGCUACAUGCAUAUCAUGUGUUUAAGUCUGUGGAGCUGUUCAAGUUUGUAUCUGUAUCUAUCCUGUUAGAUUGGGGAACCUGGCAAGAAAAAGAAGUAAUAAGCUUCUAUGCUAUGGUGUCAUAAUGGGUCCUGAAGUUAGGAGUGGUGACUUGCCUCAAGACACCUGGACAGGAAUUUACUUUUACAAUUCGUAGGGGGGUUGGCACUGCUGAUUGUGUCAGUGUUAACCAUGAUGGUUUUGUUAAUGAUGUAGAAGUCGGUGACAUGCUUCUUUUUGAUGGUACAUGACAUGAUCAUUUCUAUCAUCAUGGAAACUUUGGCUUCUCACCUUGUGCUUGGAACUUUCCACAAAUCUAGAUGUCUUAAAAUUUUAUAGGGGAGUGACAAUUCAAUACAAAGGUUGAGCAGAAUUGUAGAAGUUUAAUUCAAAGAGGUCUUGUGUCUAUAUUUCAAGUUUUUCUCUCUUUCCCCCUUUACCCCCUUUUCUUGUUGAACAGAAUUUGAAAUGGAAAAGGAUUUGUUAUUGUGAAUUAUAUGACUUUCUUACUCCUGAUCUAUGGUGUAGGUGGUAUGAUGUCACUGUUGGUGAAGUCCAAGACAUAUUACUCCGUGAAAUGUGAAGUUGUUGAUGGAGAACUUAAGUCUAGGCGUCAUCUAAAUGUUAGAGGAAAAAGCGCAACACUGCCUUCCAUCACUGGUUGGACCUUGAAUUACCUUUGAUAUCAUUUAUUUAUUCCCUGAAGCUUUACCUUUUGUUUCCAUUUUUGGCCCCAGGAUGGGGAUGUUGUUUUUGUAAAUGAACUUACUUGUUUAUGAUAUUUUCCCGCAGAAAAGGAUUGGGAUGACAUAAAAUUUGGGGUGGACAAUAAAGUUGACUUCUAUGCAGUUUCCUUUGUAAAAGAUGCACAAGUAGUUCAUGAAUUGAAGAACUAUCUUCAAAGCUGCGGUGCAGAUAUACAUGUGAUUGUAAAGAUUGAAAGUGCAGAUUCUAUAGCAAAUUUGCAUUCAAUAAUCACAGCAUCUGAUGGGGCAAUGGUUGCAAGAGGAGACCUUGGUGCAGAGCUCCCCAUUGAGGAGGUUCCACUUUUGCAGGAAGAAAUUAUCAGACUGUGCCGAAGCAUGGGGAAGGCUGUUAUUGUGGCAACAAAUAUGCUGGAAAGCAUGAUUGUUCAUCCAACUCCAACCAGAGCAGAGGUAUCUGAUAUUGCCAUUGCAGUUCGUGAGGGUGCUGAUGCAGUAAUGCUUUCUGGAGAAACUGCUCAUGGAAAAUUCCCAUUGAAAGCUGUGAAAGUUAUGCACACAGUUGCAUUACGAACUGAAGCAACCAUAGCUAGUGGUACAAUGCCACCAAAUCUUGGUCAAGCGUUCAAGAACCACAUGAGCGAGAUGUUUGCGUAUCAUGCAACCAUGAUGUCAAACACUCUUGGAACCUCAAUUGUUGUCUUCACCAGGACUGGCUUCAUGUCUAUAUUACUGAGCCAUUAUCGACCUUCUGGCACUAUUUUUGCCUUCACAAAUGAGUGAGUUUCUUGUGUCCCUAAAUUUCAAAUUGUCACUGUUCAGUUACUCUGGCUCUUACCUGAGCUAAAGAUGCACGGGUAUUGGAUCUUAAUAGGUUGCAAGCAUAAAAAUGGUGCUUUUGAUUAUCUUCUUAUUUAUCCUGGACUAGUCUCAUAAAAGUCCUCUUGGUGUUUUAAUAUUUCAGUGCCUAUAAAGUAUAAAAAUAUUAAACUGCUGACUUAAUGAGCUGCUGCUGUAAAUUUGUUAGAACUGCAUAGAUCAGCCAUUUAUAGGAAAAUAUAGCUGUUUCUUCCCGCAGAAGGGGGAAAAGAAAAAGAUUAGUCCAUGUAAAAGAAGUGGUAUUUCAGUUUUUGAGAGUUUGACCACUUGCACGAUUUUUAAUGACCAUGCAGGAAGAGAAUACAACAGAGAUUGGCUUUGUACCAAGGAGUUUGUCCCAUAUACAUGCAGUUUUCAGAUGAUGCAGAAGAAACAUUUGCAAAUGCCUUAUCAGUGCUCAAGAAUCAAGGGAUGGUAAAGGAAGGGGAGGAAGUUGCACUUGUUCAGAGUGGCAGACAACCAAUCUGGCGGUUCCAAUCUACACACAAUAUUCAGGUCCGGAAAGUGUAGUCAAAGAAAGAUGAUAAACUUACUAUGGCAUUUUAGAUUAGGAUAAUUUAUGGAGUUCUUAUCUGAGCACUAAAUGACUUCCGUUGUGGGAUUGCCAUCAUUCCAGCUCGUUGUGUCUGCUUCCUAGGUUUUAACAGGAUUAUUUCUUAACGGUUUAUUUUGUCUUCUCUUUUUCCCUGAUACGCACGUGUUAUAUGAUGCUUUAGAACAAGUCGCAGUUGAAUGAAAAUUUUUCCCAAGAGUCAUGGCGGCAUACAAUUAUUACAGCUGCAAAUUGUGGAAGUUCUAUUGUACAAAAAUCAAUCCUGUUGGAUCUAAGUUUUUAUAGUUGUUAUGUUUAAAUAAAAGAGUAGAAGAAAAUGGUCCAAGGAAAAGAAGUGUGCCCAUUUUAUUGACUUUGUCAAGCAAAUCAAAGACCGGCUACAUUGUUUCAUUUAAUUUGCUAACAAGCAAAGCAAUGCUAGUGCUGUCAUAUUCAC